AACGAACGCUGGCGGCGUGUCUUAAGCAUGCAAGUCGAGCGGCAAGGGUAGCAAUACCCCUAGAGCGGCGGACUGGUGAGUAACACGUGGGUGAUCUACCUCAGGGUUGGGGAUAGCCAUUAGAAAUAGUGGGUAAUACCGAAUACGUUCCGUUGACUACGGUCAGCGGAGGAAAGGCGCUACGGCGCCGCCCCGAGAUGAGCCCGCGCCCCAUUAGCUAGUUGGUGAGGUAAUGGCCCACCAAGGCUAUGAUGGGUAGGCGGCCUGAGAGGGUGUACGCCCACAUUGGGACUGAGAUACGGCCCAAACUCCUACGGGAGGCAGCAGCUAAGAAUAUUCCGCAAUGGACGAAAGUCUGACGGAGCGACGCCGCGUGGAUGAUGAAGGCCGGAAGGUUGUAAAAUCCUUUUGUCGGGGAAGAAUAAGCGUGGGAGGGAAUGCCCGCGUGAUGACAUGAACCGGCGAAUAAGCCCCGGCUAACUACGUGCCAGCAGCCGCGGUAAUGUCUGUACUCC
rnacentral:rRNA from 1 species